UACAGCAGUCAUUAGUCCACAGCUAUCAGCUCCACGUGGAUGCCCUAAACAGAAUACAACAUAUUAAACAUAACUAAUAAGUUAAUAUGUUCUCUUCAACAUCAAAGAAGGUAUUAUAUAGCAAUAGUCAAGGAGGGCACAUUAAGUAAAACUACCUUCUAAUAACUUAAUAAAAUAAUCCUGAAUAGCUGCAGAUUCCCCUCCCAAUAAGCAGAUUCCUGUCAAAUUUUGAACUGAAAAACUAUUUCUCAAUAAUUUUGUAAAGCUGCAUGCCCUAGCAGAUAACUCUUUUGAAUAAAUUUUCUCAUCCCAAUGCUCUUAUGCAAAAUAUGUAUUUUUAAAAUCUAUCAUAUGAUUUUCAAAUAAUCUCUCUUCCUCUAAAAAAAUCCCUCAAAAACCUAGUUCAUCUUUCUAAUAAAUGGUGAAGCUCUUGCUAGCAUGUGUGGGAAUACACUAGUCUUCUGCUCUCUACACAAGUAAAGGUGUUUUAUAAAUUGCUGGCUUCCAUGGCAAAAUAAAGAAAUUUCAAUCCUUUUCUUAAGGAUUGAAAGUUUCCAAAUUCCUAGCUAGUUGAACUUUCAGUCCAAAAUGAUUAACAUGCUUCUGAAAAUGUCAAUGUCUUUUAAAACCUAAGAGUUAUGUAUUCUUCAUUCCAAAAUGUAUGGUGCUUAAAAUGUAACCUUCACAACCAGGUAGCAUCAAAGCUUUUUUACUGUGAACAGCUCUACAAGUAUUGAUGUAAUAAUGCUAGUUAUUUUGAAAUGCUCAUGUAAAGAAAAUAUUGCCCCGCUGCUUCAAAGAUACGGACUCUGUAAAGUCUCAAGUCUUUAAUUGUUAUGCAAACUUUAAAAAAUAAGCAAAACCAAGUAAAAAGACAGGUCUACAGUGGUGUGAUUUCUAUGGAGUGGCCUGUGAAUAAUAAUAGCAAUACAGAGCACUCUAAUACAGAGAUUGUCCAAAAUAAUUUGCUUUAGAUUACACCAUUGUUUUCUUCUCUGUUACUGUGGUAGACACGGUAGCUGCCAGCUGCGUGCAGAGCUCCAGAUACACACCAGAAAAAACAUUUGGCUGCUUGGGCAGCAAAUGCAACCCAGAAAACUUUUCCCCAGCUUCUUCUCAGCACGUCCCCCCAUGCUCCUUUUAUGCCACCUUGAAAGGAUCUGGGAGCUCCUGCUCUAAUGCAUCCAAGAAAUCUUUUCCCCAAUUAAAAUGCAAUACUCAAGCAGCUGUGAGUAGACAGGACCAAAACGGAAUUUCCUAAGGUACUGCAGACACCAUACCACACCCAAACCUUUAUGUUCUAUCAUAUUACACUGGAGCACUUGUGAAAAUUUAUUCCUUAAUAUAUUGCGCCCGGUGCUGUCAGUGUGCUGUGUACCUCCCUUUGUCUCCCAAUAUUAUUCCUUUUAACUUUUCUGUUAUCUUUGCCAUCAAUUUAUCCAAAGCAUGUGUUACCCUUGGAAAAAACACAUUAAAAAUACACACUGCUAAAUUCACUCUUAAACAUGUAGUGUUGGCAGAGGAGACAUGCAUUUGAGGAUUAACAAAAAAAUCUGCUGUAAACUAGGAGCAUGUCAGUUGUAAACAUCAUAGGAGGUGGAUCUACAUAUGCAUAUUAGCUGACUGCAAGGUUAUUAUAAGUUGGCAGUGGGAUACAACUAUGGAAAAGCAAAUGCCAUCUGAGAAUGAACCAGUUUAACUAUUUCUUAACAGGGAAAAGGAAAAUAAAUGUGCUAUUGCUUAAGGCACCUGUGAGAUCUCACACAGAUUUUUUUCAUCAUGUUCAUGGAAGAAGAAACAGGUAAAGAAAAGAGCUGCAGAGAUUACCAGAGACAAGUCAUUUUAAGAGCAAGGCUACAAAAUUUUUGCUUGUUUAGUCUAGCAGAAACAAAACCUGAUACAGGAAAUAAUUAUCCUCUAAAAACACAAUAGAGUGGUAAACAGUAGGCAAGGAAAAGAAUUAUUUACUCUAGCAGACAAUGUUGACACAAGAACAAGUGAGUGCAAUUUGGCCAUGAACAAAUUUAAGCUGGAAAUUAGAUGGUUUCUGACCCUAAAAAUGGUUAGGUUCUAGAGUAGUUUUUUAAUAAAAAUGGCGGGGACAAAAUCAUAACGAUUCAAGCUAUUUAAUGAUGAAGAUUGUGAAGUUUGUGGAAAAUGCUACAGACAUGGUUCCCUGGAUAAGUAAAGGACUGCAUUUUGAUCAUCCAGGAGAUUGUUUCUGGCAUUAAGUUUGCCUAUUUUCUGAAAGCAUGGGGUUAAAAAAAAAAUAGAAAUUAAAUCAUAUUUAUGCAUACGGUGUUAGAAAUAUUGCUUAAGCAAAUGCCAUCCAUAUGUAAAUGAUCUCUGUAAUUAAGUUUGUGCUUUGCAAUAAGAAAACAAUUUAACUUGAUAAAUAGGUAUCACAUUGUAGAUACUUCAGUGGUUGGAAGCUAAUUCUUUUUAAUGGAAAGAUGCAAUUUGUCACAUGCUGAUUUUCUUGGGUUUUAUAGGGUAUCUUUUUACUACUUUUAUUUUGUCUUCUUUGAGUCUUUAAAGUUCUAGACAACAGUUUUAUCAGCAUGUGUGGACAGCAAUGGGAGACAGCUGGAAAAUAAUGUCUGCCUAUUUGUUUAUACCAACCUAGCCAAAUUUGUCUCCUGAGUUCCUCAGAUGAGCAUUUGCUACUAGUAUAAAACAGUGUUAGGACAAAGAAAAAGCCUGAUGAUCACCAUGGUAAGAUGGAAUCUGAAUAUCAAAUAGAAAGAAGCAAACAUAAACCAAACAUAUUUGAGUUAGAAGAAUAACUUGAAAUUAAGGAAGGGUGUCCAAAGAAAAUAAGGAAAAUGUUAUGAAACUAAUUUCCACAAACACAGAAGGAAUUUGCUGAGGCUGCAGUCAGGAGUUUAGCCUAGAGACCCAACAUUAAAGCAGUUCUUAGAGUCUUCUUGUGCAGCUUCUGAUGCCUGUAAUCAUCUCACUAUUAAUAGAUAAUAAAUAUGGUUCACCCAACACUGUAGUGGCUGUUGAAAUUCAGGUCUGUGGUAUACCAUUAUGCCAUCUGAAGAAUUACAGCUAUUUAAAAACUAAUCUACGUUCCCUCAUCAGCAAAGCCAAGCAGCAGAAAGAAACACAAAACAUUGCAAAGGCAAAAUAGAGGUAUUCCCCUAUCAGUGUUAAGACAUAAACAGUGACAGAACUCUGUUGAAAACAAAGUGAUCGCAUAUGCACAGUUUAAAGUACUGUUAAAAAUUAUUAUUUGUAUGUGUACACAUAAGUAUAUAAUUGUAAAUGUAUUUUUUAUCAUAAGUCAUUUAUUAUUUGUAUUCUCUGUAAGCCCACUUACAAAAGAUUUAUUAUGGAAGAAACUGUAUUAUCAACUGCAGUGUGCAUAGGUAUUAGUUUAUAGUUGGUACUUGCUCAUCAAGUAUUAUGAAAAUAUGUCAAAACAUAACAGUAUAUGAGAAAUCACAUAGGUAACUGUACUUGACCAGAAACUGGAGAAUUCUGGCUGUACCAUGUAGAGGAAAAGGUCACAUACAACCUCCCCGCCUUGCUCCUCAAGGAGAAGUACCAUUAUGUGGGCUGGCUGUAAGAGGCCUCACUCCAUUUGCUGAAAAAAUACAAUAGUCCUAAUGGCCACAGAAGCAAAUUGGAAAAAUAUAGAUAAACAGGAAAACAUAACCAUUUCUAUAUUUUCCCAGUUUUGUUGCUGACCAAAAUCAAGUUACGCAAAGAUGUAGUAAAAAUAAUGCAAAAUAGUUAAAAAUUUGAAAGUCAAUUUUCAUACUUUAAUUCAUACUUUAAGUCACGUUAGUUCUUUUUAAAAUGAAACUGCUUUUCUUUCUUCCUUUUUUAGCACCUUUUUACUUAUAGUUACUAGUUACUGUAUUCAGUAUCUUUUGCAACUAACAGCUAACUGAAGCUGCAAGCCUGAAGACCUCAGUAAGUUUUUAAGAAUAAAAGGAGCUCACAUCAUGAAGAAAACAAUUUCAAAUUCUUUAUGUCUGAAGUUGCCACUCAGACACUAGCCAUGACACUUAGGAAACAGCUGCCAAUUUUCACCUUUUUUUCCUUUACUCCCCAAGCAGAAGUUAAAAAGUACAGACAAGUUUUUUAACAGUGUUAUGGUCUGGUUUAGAAGGACGCUUUUCUGAUAAUGAAUUGUUAUUUCUCCUCAUAUGUAGCUCUUAGGAGGACAUCAUGCCUUGCCUGUUGAACAAGUGACAAGGGACUGCUGAGGAAUGUGUUUCCCCUCUGUGAAGUUCAGUCUGCCCAUCCCAAUAGCACCCAGUCAGCAGAGGAAUCCAUCCUACGUAUACUCCCAUGGACUCCAAAUACUGAUGCGAGAGCUCAGCAGUUCAGCAAGUCACACAUGACUGUCUGGCAUUUGGAAGAUGAAGUGCAUAUUAUUAAAAAGUUUGGUUUAAGUCAUUGCCUAGCAUCAAGUUCUGUGGCAGAGGAAAGGAUGCACUCAGACUCCUAAAUAUAAUAAAACAAACACAAGAUACUGAAGGAGCAGACACUGUAAGCAAUUCAUAACCAGAUCAAGCCCAUCAGCCCCUCAUGAAAAGGUAGGUGGUAAGUUUAAUACAGACGAGCUUUGAAGAAAAUAAUUCCUUUCUAGAAAAGGAAUUGCAAUAAUCCAUGCUAAUUCUAUGCAUAAUACAGGCCAUGCUAUAUCACUCAAAGGAGAGGCUAAAAUGCCAUUACCAAAAAUGCCAAUUUAAAUGGGAUAUAGCUGCUUAAACUAAUAUGAAAUAUGUGGUCAAUUUAUAGAUAUUACGGGUGCAGUGGCAUAGGUAGUUUCAUUAACAUGAAGAUAAAAAGGCCUUUAAGCUGUUUUUGAAGAGUAAUGCUGGGACUGUGCCUAUGUAUGUGAGUAAACAUUAUUGUAGUGUAUUGGGUUAUGGAAACUUUUUCCUCACUUGCAAUGUUGAUUGACAAGUUAAAUUUUCUGGGUGGCUUGGAGUUUUGAUACAUGAUGCUCAUGUUAGGUAUAAACAUGACAAGUUUACAGAAGAUCUGCCUGUGAAAACAUAGAAACUAAAGAUGUUCUUACUCCUCUUUAAUUACUUAAUGACAUUUUUCCACUUUAGCUUUAGUAUAGGAUUCAGAAGUACGUAGCACAUAGCUAAUAUCCCAUCCUCAGGGAUGGGAUCCUCAAUGGAUGGUGCAUCCUCAAUGCACCCCUCUGCAUACCUCCCUCUGCUGUAGCCCCACCAACAAGGACGUUGCCUUUAGGAGCAGAGGAUGUGGGAUCUCGUCCAUUUCCCAUCUCAGUGAAGCUUCUUACCAUCGCUUACUACCUGCAGGUCAGAGGGGUGGCCAGUUGCUGUGGCUGUUGCACCACUGGAGACAGUUUUUUAAUGAGUGUAGGAAACAGAAGAAAUAGAAAUGGGUGAGUAUGAGAAAAGUCUUUUCUAUUGAACUUUUCACUGAGUAUAACUGCAUAUAAUUUAAAUGUACAUUCAUUUCUGCACAAUCUCUGCAAAAUACUGAGUAUAAGUGAACAGUACAAUGACAAUCCUACAAUCUGUACUUUUUUUUUUUUUCUUUCUAACAGCAUUUCCCAGUUUAGCAUUUUUCAUAGGUACUAAUUGAUUGUGGUUAUGCAUGACUAGCUACAAAUGAGCAAUAUUGUUGCAAAUAUACUUUUGGAUACAAUUCCCUGGUAAACCUUGAGACAAGACCUGUGGCAGGAAUAGUAUCAAAAGUAGAAAAAAAAAGCACAAAUUCUCAGGGACAAAUAUGGCUAUAUUUUGAAUUUCUGCUCAUUUUUAACUUCGUGUUCUUUGGGACAAAUUCUAACACAAUGAGGAGUUUAACAUGAUCUAGAAAACCCACAAGAAAAUCUUGUUGGCAUGAGACCUGGGAAAUCUGUUGACUCCACUGCAGUUCCCACUUAGGAAUUCAUUUCCCCCUUUCGGCUGAUCAGGAAUCAUUCAAUUUUCAGCACUUUUGGUUAAAUUACAGUUAUAUAGCUAAAAGCACAAAGCAGGAGCAUGUUUAUAGUCCAUAGAGAAACUGAACUGAUACUGUGAAACAUGAUGCAAAUACUUUGAAGUCAAAGGUGGUUUUUGAUCAUAUCUAAAUGAUAUGAUAUAAAUGAUAUCAUAUAAACUGAAAUGGCAAAAUUGUUUACUUCUAUCACAUCCUACAGUUAUCACAUGGCAUCAAAAAGGGAGCAAGCUGAUUAGGUAUUUUAAUUGUAUCUAUGAAGCUAUUUGGAUUUUCUUCUGUUUAAUUCUGAAUUUCCUGCAUCAGAAUGGUUGGUUUGGAAACGCUGCUGUUAUUCUUUCAAGUUACUUCAGCCUUACUUUCCUCCUAACAUUUUUGUCUGGGAAUAAUGGUGUGAAAUUCAUAGCAGCCAGAGUGCAGAGGAAUAUAGAGAUACUUUAUACAUACCUAUCAAUAAUGCAUUUAUCUACAUUCUUAGGGGAUCAUAUUUCCAUAGUCAGUUACAAAUAAUUCAAAGCAACUGCAAGG